rnacentral:rRNA from 2 species
ACGGAAGGCAGCAGUGGGGAAUAUUGCACAAUGGGCGAAAGCCUGAUGCAGCGACGCCGCGUGAGCGAUGAAGUAUUUCGGUAUGUAAAGCUCUAUCAGCAGGGAAGAUAAUGACGGUACCUGACUAAGAAGCACCGGCUAAAUACGUGCCAGCAGCCGCGGUAAUACGUAUGGUGCAAGCGUUAUCCGGAUUUACUGGGUGUAAAGGGUGCGUAGGCGGUUUUAUAAGUCUGAUGUGAAAGCCCGGGGCUCAACCCCGGGACUGCAUUGGAAACUGUAGAACUAGAGUGUCGGAGAGGUAAGUGGAAUUCCUAGUGUAGCGGUGAAAUGCGUAGAUAUUAGGAGGAACACCAGUGGCGAAGGCGGCUUACUGGACGAUUACUGACGCUGAGGCACGAAAGCGUGGGGAGCAAACAGGAUUAGAUACCCUGGUA